AGAGUUUGAUCAUGGCUCAGAGCGAACGCUGGCGGCGUGCCUAACACAUGCAAGUCGAACGUGAAAUGGGGCAACCCAAAGUAAAGUGGCGUACGGGUGAGUAACGCGUAGGUAAUCUACCUGAGAGUCUGGAAUAACCUGCCGAAAGGCGGGCUAAUACUGGAUAGAGCGAUGAAAUCCGUAAUCGGAUUUUUCGGGAAAGGGAGGAAGUAAUUCCCUUCGCUCUCGGAUGAGCCUGCGUCUCAUUAGCUAGUUGGUGGGGUAACGGCUCACCAAGGCAUUGAUGGGUAGCUGGUCUGAGAGGAUGAUCAGCCACACUGGAACUGAAACACGGUCCAGACUCCUACGGGAGGCAGCAGUGGGGAAUCUUGCGCAAUGGACGAAAGUCUGACGCAGCCACGCCGCGUGAGUGAAGAAGGCCUUCGGGUUGUAAAGCUCUGUCGGAGGGGACGAAAAUACUUCGGGUGAAUAGCCCGAGGGACUGACGGUACCCUCAAAGGAAGCACCGGCUAACUUCGUGCCAGCAGCCGCGGUAAUACGAGGGGUGCAAGCGUUGCUCGGAAUUAUUGGGCGUAAAGGGUAGGUAGGUGGUCUCAUUUGUCUCAUGUGAAAUCCUUGGGCUUAACUCAAGAAGUGCGUGAGAAACGGUGAGACUGGAGUCUUGGAGAGGGUCGUGGAAUUCCCGGUGUAGCGGUGAAAUGCGUAGAGAUCGGGAGGAACACCAGAGGCGAAGGCGGCGACCUGGACAAGUACUGACACUCAACUACGAAAGCGUGGGGAGCAAACAGGAUUAGAUACCCUAGUAGUCC
rnacentral:rRNA from 1 species